CCUGGCACGAGUGAGCCAGGCAGCUGCAGCACAUUCCAAAUAUCGCUCUAUUUAAAGCAUCCCAAGGCUCCCAGAACAACUGCAGAGACAAACCUUAAACCUGCCAUUAAACCAGCAGAGGGGGAAUGGCAGAACCAGCCCCAGCCCCGCUGUCCCGCCUGGUUGUCCCUGUGCUCCUGGCACUUGGCUGGCUCCUGGGAUGUGCCCUCAUGGUUUACAUUGUCUUCUCCUGAUGGCAGACAGAAGAAUUUACAGAGAUGUUGAUUAGAAGAACCUGGAAGUUCAACUGAGAUUUCUAAUGGCUAAAAUAAGUAUAAAAUGAGUUAUUUUUAAUAUCAA